AGAGUUUGAUCCUGGCUCAGGAUGAACGCUAGCUACAGGCUUAACACAUGCAAGUCGAGGGGCAGCAUGACCUAGCAAUAGGUUGAUGGCGACCGGCGCACGGGUGAGUAACACGUAUCCAACCUGCCGAUUAUUCCGGGAUAGCCUUUCGAAAGAAAGAUUAAUACUGGAUAGUAUAACGAGAAGGCAUCUUUUUGUUAUUAAAGAAUUUCGAUAAUCGAUGGGGAUGCGUUCCAUUAGCUUGUUGGCGGGGUAACGGCCCACCAAGGCAUCGAUGGAUAGGGGUUCUGAGAGGAAGGUCCCCCACAUUGGAACUGAGACACGGUCCAAACUCCUACGGGAGGCAGCAGUGAGGAAUAUUGGUCAAUGGACGAGAGUCUGAACCAGCCAAGUAGCGUGAAGGAUGACUGCCCUAUGGGUUGUAAACUUCUUUUAUAUGGGAAUAAAGUGAGCCACGUGUGGCUUUUUGUAUGUACCAUACGAAUAAGGAUCGGCUAACUCCGUGCCAGCAGCCGCGGUAAUACGGAGGAUCCAAGCGUUAUCCGGAUUUAUUGGGUUUAAAGGGAGCGUAGGCGGACUAUUAAGUCAGCUGUGAAAGUUUGCGGCUCAACCGUAAAAUUGCAGUUGAUACUGGUCGUCUUGAGUGCAGUAGAGGUAGGCGGAAUUCGUGGUGUAGCGGUGAAAUGCUUAGAUAUCACGAAGAACUCCGAUUGCGAAGGCAGCUUGCUGGACUGUAACUGACGCUGAUGCUCGAAAGUGUGGGUAUCAAACAGGAUUAGAUACCCUGGUAGUCCACACAGUAAACGAUGAAUACUCGCUGUUUGCGAUAUACAGUAAGCGGCCAAGCGAAAGCGUUAAGUAUUCCACCUGGGGAGUACGCCGGCAACGGUGAAACU
rnacentral:rRNA from 1 species